UUGGAGGGCAAGUCUGGUGCCAGCAGCCGCGGUAAUUCCAGCUCCAAUAGCGUAUAUUAAAGUUGUUGCAGUUAAAAAGCUCGUAGUUGAAUUUCGGGAUCAAAUUGUCGGUCGUGCCUCGGUACGCACUGGUAUUAUUGGUUCCUACCUUCUGAAGAACCGCGAUGUCAUUAAUUUGGUGUCGUGGGGAAUCAGGACUGUUACUUUGAAAAAAUUAGAGUGUUUAAAGCAGGCUUACGCUUGAAUACAUUAGCAUGGAAUAAUGAAAUAGGACGUUUGAUUCUAUUUUGUUGGUUUCUAGGAUUGACGUAAUGAUUAAUAGGGAUAGUUGGGGGCAUUAGUAUUCAAUUGUCAGAGGUGAAAUUCUUGGAUUUAUUGAAGACUAACUACUGCGAAAGCAUUUGCCAAGGAUGUUUUCAUUAAUCAAGAACGAAAGUUAGGGGAUCGAAGACGAUCAGAUACCGUCGUAGUCUUAACCAUAAACUAUGCCGACUAGGGAUCGGAUGAUGUUAAUUUUUUAAUGACUCAUUCGGCGCCUACGGGAAAC
rnacentral:rRNA from 1 species